UAAUGUGAAUUGCAGAAUUCAGUGAAUCAUCGAAUCUUUGAACGCAUAUUGCGCCCUCUGGUAUUCCGGGGGGCAUGCCUGUUCGAGCGUCAUUA
rnacentral:rRNA from 1 species